UACGUAGGGUGCAAGCGUUUGUCCGGAAUUAUUGGGCGUAAAGGGCUCGUAGGCGGUCUGUCACGUCGGGAGUGAAAACUCGGGGCUUAACCCCGAGCCUGCUUCCGAUACGGGCAGACUAGAGGUAUGCAGGGGAGAAUGGAAUUCCUGGUGUAGCGGUGAAAUGCGCAGAUAUCAGGAGGAACACCGGUGGCGAAGGCGGUUCUCUGGGAAUGUCCUGACGUGAGGAGCGAAAGUGUGGGGAGCGAACAGG
rnacentral:rRNA from 1 species